rnacentral:rRNA from 1 species
UACGUAGGGUGCGAGCGUUAAUCGGAAUUACUGGGCGUAAAGCGUGCGCAGGCGGUUUGUUAAGCCAGAUGUGAAAUCCCCGGGCUUAACCUGGGAACUGCGCUUGUAACUGGCAAGCUGGAGUGUGGCAGAGGGGGGUGGAAUUCCACGUGUAGCAGUGAAAUGCGUAGAGAUGUGGAGGAAUACCGAUGGCGAAGGCAGCCCCCUGGGAUAACACUGACGCUCAUGCACGAAAGCGUGGGGAGCAAACAGG